rnacentral:rRNA from 1 species
UCGAACGGUAACAGGAAGCAGCUUGCUGCUUUGCUGACGAGUGGCGGACGGGUGAGUAAUGUCUGGGAAACUGCCUGAUGGAGGGGGAUAACUACUGGAAACGGUAGCUAAUACCGCAUAACGUCGCAAGACCAAAGAGGGGGACCUUCGGGCCUCUUGCCAUCGGAUGUGCCCAGAUGGGAUUAGCUAGUAGGUGGGGUAAAGGCUCACCUAGGCGACGAUCCCUAGCUGGUCUGAGAGGAUGACCAGCCACACUGGAACUGAGACACGGUCCAGACUCCUACGGGAGGCAGCAGUGGGGAAUAUUGCACAAUGGGCGCAAGCCUGAUGCAGCCAUGCCGCGUGUAUGAAGAAGGCCUUCGGGUUGUAAAGUACUUUCAGCGGGGAGGAAGGGAGUAAAGUUAAUACCUUUGCUCAUUGACGUUACCCGCAGAAGAAGCACCGGCUAACUCCGUGCCAGCAGCCGCGGUAAUACGGAGGGUGCAAGCGUUAAUCGGAAUUACUGGGCGUAAAGCGCACGCAGGCGGUUUGUUAAGUCAGAUGUGAAAUCCCCGGGCUCAACCUGGGAACUGCAUCUGAUACUGGCAAGCUUGAGUCUCGUAGAGGGGGGUAGAAUUCCAGGUGUAGCGGUGAAAUGCGUAGAGAUCUGGAGGUAUACCGGUGGCGAAGGCGGCCCCCUGGACGAAGACUGACGCUCA